rnacentral:rRNA from 1 species
GACGAACGCUGGCGGCGUGCUUAACACAUGCAAGUCGAACGGAAAGGCCCUGCUCUUGUGGGUUGCUCGAGUGGCGAACGGGUGAGUAACACGUGAGUAACCUGCCCUUGACUUUGGGAUAACUUCAGGAAACUGGGGCUAAUACCGGAUAUGAGCUCCUGCUGCAUGUUGGGGGUUGGAAAGUUUCGGCGGUUGGAGAUGGACUCGCGGCUUAUCAGCUUGUUUGUGGGGUAGUGGCUUACCAAGGCUUUGACGGGUAGCCGGCCUGAGAGGGUGGACGGCCACAAGGGGACUGAGAGACGGAGCAGAAGGCUACGGGAGGCAGCAGGGGAGAAUAUUACAGAAUGGGCGGAAGCCAGAUGCAGAGACGCCGGGUGCGGGAUAACGGCCUUCGGGUUGUAAACAGAUGUCGAAGGUAACGAAGAGUGAGUGACGGUAAUGGGUAAAGAAGCACCGGCUAACUACGUG